UGCACUAUUAAAACCCUCCCCUAUUCCAAAAUAAUGAAUGAAUUACAAACUAGCUAGCUAUCUAUAUUGUGAAUCAAGCUGAAAUAGGCUAUUCAAUCGGAGGAUUUUCCUGUUUGCCCAAAGUUUGUGAAAGUAACAGUAGCGUGUAUCAUCCACGAAAAAACAAAAAGUGUACUUCAGGCUACACUCGCAUUUCAAAACCCAUCAUACAUAGUCGCACUGUCACUAGCUAGCUUAGCUUUCUACUGUAUCGAUGGAUUCCCGGGAGAGAGAAAUCGCUAGAUUUUUAAAUAGUAAUGAUGUUGGUUCAGACAAUUAGUCGCGUCAACUUAUUGACUACUACUUUUUGACCUGAGAUGGAGAGCAUCGCCAUCAGCAACUCCACAAAAGCACAGACACCGACUCAGACGAGCUCACCAAAGUCGAAGCCGAGCCCAUUGAGGAGGAAACCGAGGAAGACCACCCGUUAAUGGUGGAUCUGUCAAUUACGGCUCUUCAGUCGGUCGAGGGGAAAUAUGUCAGUGAUGCUGGGCAAGAAAUUGAAAAGGCUUGCGUGUUCAGAUGCACUUGCAAGUCCAAUGAAGGGAAACCCUGCUAUUUGCUGUUUACCCCCGAGAAGUGCUCAUUGGCAAGAUCGCUAGUUCCAUGAACCUCUCCAAGGAAACCAUCAGCUCGAAAAGGAGCAAACAAACAAAAAGGAAACAUCAGAGGACAUCCUAUUUCCUUGAUAGCCAGCAACAACAAAAAAAUCUUACACGCUUGACUGCAGUGAUAAAGUUCUACAAAGAACAUGGUGUGGCUCCAAGGAAGAAGAGGUGCGGUGGUCAUCUCGCCAGCAAACGGGUGCUGUCCUACGAGAACAUUCAGCGAAUCGUCCACUAACAACUUCACUGAAGUCCAGGCAAUGCCGCUCCCAGGACAGAUUCCUGGAUUUAAGAGGGUAGACAUCCAGGUGCUACUGACAUUUGAGACCAAGUCCUCUGUGUGGCGCAAGUACAAAAACGUUUGUGCGUGGUCAUGGUUAGUGUUUUCCUAAAACUUGAUACUUACAUUUGUAUCAAAUGUUCGUUAGCUCCAGCCAGUGGACCAGCGGCAAAGAKUCUAACCAAAGCCCACACAAAUCGGAUCCAAAGAGACUGUCAGUCUUUACUCUCUGGUGACACGUGUGUGUGUGUGGUCAGAUUUUCUUUAACAUUUUAGCUGCUUAGAGACCAGAGUUUACUCUGACCAUUUUUAGCUCUCAACCCCUCCAUCUGUUUUAGCUCUUUUUAGAUGUUGUUUGCUCUGUGUGACUGUCAGAAAAAUGCAGGUCCUGGGUUGCUUGAGCACAUCUAUACACAUUCUCUGUGACGUAUUUAUAAGAGAUGCUAUUUAAUUCAUUAUUUUUCCUCCCAAGCCUUAUCUCUGAAUCUAACAUGGAAAAUCUAUGGGCCACAACCAUGACAUGUUUGAGGACUACAUGGGAUGUGCACGCGUUUGUGCGCACGUGUACAUGUAUGCAUGUGCACGUACACAUGCGCACAAACACGUGCACACCGUAUCUAGUCCUAGCACAUAUCAUGGCGUGAACAUGUGCAGUGUGAGAGUAUUUCUCUGUCAUACAUAUGCAUGUGCAUGUACUGUACAUGUGUGCGCAUGUGUACAUGUGUGUGCAUGUUUGAAAAUAAGUGAAUGUAGCCAAUAAAUUAUGUUUGUAUGUGUACA